GCAGACGUGGUGUAAUGGAUUAGCGCAUCGGAUUUCUAAUCCGGCGGUUGAGGGUUCGAGGUCUCGUAUGUC
rnacentral:tRNA from 1 species